AUUUAUUUACAGUUCACAGAUUACAGGCUAGUUCCCAGCUUGGGGAAAAUCGUUUAGUAUAUUACAAAAGCAAAAGCUCUUCAAUCAAUUAAAGUUUAAAUACAAUUAUUAUUUCAAUCUUUUGUAAAUGAUGUACACGUCUUUGCUCCCCACCUCUCCACUCCACUUCUCCACUCCACCAACUUCCCCACCACACUCAACUAUCAGCCACCACCCUUUUUCUCCACCAAACUUUCCACUUAUUUCCUUCCCCACCACACGCAAUAAUGCAAUACUCACUCUCAGCUCAUUCACAGAGUACCAAAGAACAAUCCCAGCUUGUUCCUGCCAAGUUCUCAAGGUAAGCUUGCCUUAAUGUUUCCACCUUUCUUCCAUUUGCAACCUGCAUUUAUUGAAAGAAACAAGUAUGAUUUAUUUCAGAGCUAUUCCAGUUCUUUUAACUCAACAUCACAGCAGCCAACCAAGCCCAAAACAUUCGCAAGGUCAAGCGCGAGAGUAAGAACUACACAAGGAGUUAGAGUACCUUAGCAAAACUUUGCUAUCAGGUUGAGUUGUGAUGGGCGAUGAAGUGUUGCUGAGUGGAGUUUUUGUCGAACCUAAAGUAGGCUCAGAAAGGAUACAUGUCUUCAUACAUGUAUCUCAGUUAUGCAUUCCGCUAUAAUCACUGAUUAUUUCAGUUACGCCUUCCGUUGCAAACUCUGAUAAUGUUUUAGCCAAGCCCCUAACGAUGCCUUUUUCCUUUUAAGGAAUAUAACGCUUAUACAAGUUCGUUGAGUACCCUUUUUAUGCG